rnacentral:rRNA from 1 species
AGCGUAGACGGUAGUACAAGUCUGAAGUGAAAUGCGGGGGCUCAACCCCUGAACUGCUUUGGAAACUGUAUUACUAGAGUGCAGGAGAGGUAAGUGGAAUUCCUAGUGUAGCGGUGAAAUGCGUAGAUAUUAGGAGGAACACCAGUGGCGAAGGCGGCUUACUGGACUGUAACUGACGUUGAGGCUCGAAGGCGUGGGGAGCAAACA